rnacentral:rRNA from 1 species
GACUACUGGGGUAUCUAAGCCUGUUUGCUACCCACGCUUUCGCGCCUCAGCGUCAGUUACUGUCCAGGUGGCCGCCUUCGCCACUGGUGUUCCUCCUCAUCUCUACGCAUUUCACCGCUACACGAGGAAUUCCACCACCCUCUCCAGUACUCUAGCCUUCCAGUCUCAGAUGCAGUUCCCAAGUUAAGCUCGGGGAUUACACAUCUGACUUAAAAAACCGCCUACGCGCCCUUUACGCCCAAUAAUUCCGAAUAACGCUUGCCCCCUCUGUAUUACCGCGGCUGCUGGCACAGAGUUAGCCGGGGCUUCCUCUCCAGGUACCGUCAAAUGAAAGCGCUAUUAACGCCCCCACCUUCGUCCCUGACGACAGGGUUUUACAGUCCGAAGACCUUCAUCACCCACGCGGCGUUGCUGCGUCAGACUUUCGUCCAUUGCGCAAAAUUCCCCACUGCAGCCGCCCGUAGG